CGCCUACGGGGGGCAGCAGUCGGGAAUAUUGCGCAAUGGAGGAAACUCUGACGCAGUGACGCCGCGUAUAGGACGAAGGUCUUCGGAUUGUAAACUAUUGUCGUUAGGGAAGAAAGUGCGUGAGAGUAACUGUUCACGUUUCGACGGUAUCUAACCAGAAAGCCACGGCUAACUACGUGCCAGCAGCCGCGGUAAUACGUAGGUGGCAAGCGUUAUCCGGAUUUAUUGGGCGUAAAGGGAACGCAGGCGGUCUUUUAAGUCUGAU
rnacentral:rRNA from 1 species